rnacentral:rRNA from 1 species
AGCGGCGGACGGGUGAGUAACACGUGGAUAACCUGCCUUGUCGACGGGGAUAACAGGCCGAAAGGCCUGCUAAUACCGGGUAAGCUCACGGGGCCGCAUGGCCCUGGGAGAAGAGGCGCUGCAAGGCGCUGCGAUGAGAGGGGUCCGCGGCCCAUUAGCUAGUUGGGGGGGUAAUGGCCCACCAAGGCGACGAUGGGUAGCCGGCCUGAGAGGGCGACCGGCCACACUGGGACUGAGACACGGCCCAGACUCCUACGGGAGGCAGCAGUCGGGAAUUUUGCACAAUGGCCGAAAGGCUGAUGCAGCAACGCCGCGUGAGUGAAGAAGGCCUUCGGGUUGUAAAGCUCUGUUGCCCGUGACGAACGGCCAGCUCAGGAAAUGGGGCUGGAUUGACGGUAGCGGGAGAGGAAGCCCCGGCUAACUACGUGCCAGCAGCCGCGGUAAUACGUAGGGGGCGAGCGUUGUCCGGAUUUAUUGGGCGUAAAGGGCGUGUAGGCGGCUUUUUAAGUCGGGGGUGAAAAUCCAGGGCUCAACCCUGGGACUGCCUCCGAAACUGGGAAGCUUGAGUGCUCUAGAGGGCAGUGAUCGGGUGUAGCAGUGAAAUUGCGUAGGAUUCGAAGACACCAGUGGCGAAGCGACUGCCUGGGAGUACUGACGCUGAGCGCGAAAGCUGGGGAGCAAACGGGAUUAGAUACCCCGGUAGUCCCAGCCGUAAACGAUGAGUGCUAGGUGUAGGGGGUAUCGACCCCCCUGUGCCGGGAGUUAACGCAAUAAGCACUCCGCCUGGGGA